rnacentral:rRNA from 1 species
AUGGACGACUACCUCAAGCUACAUCAAGUUUGUCCCGAAGAUCAAGUGAAGUGCACCACAAGAAACUUCCAUGACUAUGCCUCGACAUGGUGGCUUCACACACCUUUGGAGUACUACGACAUGAGUUGGUCCAAGACGAAGAAAGCUUUGCGGCGAGAGUUCGUGCCUCCAACCUACACGGAACAACUUUGGCGCCAAUUGGAGAACACCAUCCAAGGAUCCAAGUCCAUCGACAAGUACUUCAAGGAGAUGAAGAUUGCCUUGCGACGAGCCGGCGUGGACGACCCCAUUUCGAUGAAGUUCCACUUAAUGAUGGGAUUGAACAACGACAUCUCCAAGACUAUCUUCCUCGAGAACUACAAGUCCCUAGUGGAAUGA